AGCUUUGCGCAGUGGCAGUAUCGUAGCCAAUGAGGUUUAUCCGAGGCGCGAUUAUUGCUAAUUGAAAAAAACUAGUGCCAAGUUGGGAGCAACCCAAAUGUCCAGAAAGAGAAUAGGGACACAAGUGGUGGCCUGUUCAUAGAAU